rnacentral:rRNA from 1 species
GGGGGAAGAAGGUCUUCGGAUUGUAAACCCCUGUCAUGUGGGACAUUAAAAAGAUAGUACCACAAGAGGAAGAGACGGCUAACUCUGUGCCAGCAGCCGCGGUAAUACAGAGGUCUCAAGCGUUGUUCGGAAUCACUGGGCGUAAAGCGUGCGUAGGCUGUUUCUAAGUCGUGUGUGAAAGGCAGGGGCUCAACCCCUGGAUUGCACAUGAUACUGCGAGACUAGAGUAAUGGAGGGGGAACCGGAAUUCUCGGUGUAGCAGUGAAAUGCGUAGAUAUCGAGAGGAACACUCGUGGCGAAGGCGGGUUCCUGGACAUUAACUGACGCUGAGGCACGAAGGCCAGGGGAG